GAUGAAGAACGUAGCAAAAUGCGAUAAGUAGUGUGAAUUGCAGAAUACGUGAAUCAUCGAAUCUUCGAACGCAUAUUGCACUUUUUUAGUUUACUAAAAAAGUAUGUCUGUUUGAGUAUCAGUAAAAUAUUCUCAUAAAAAAAAUUUAUUUUUUUUUUUUUUUUUUUUGGUUAUGGUUGUUUUACAAAGGAUAAAAAGUUGUUUCAUUUUAAAUUUUUUUUAAAAUUUGAAUUUUUCUAAUUUUAAAAUAAAAUUGGAUAAAAUUUUCCCAAAAAAAAAAAAGGAAUAACCUAAACAAUUUUAAAUUAAUUUUAGAAGAUCCAAAAAAUAAAAGGAAAAUUUAACUAAAAAUAACUUGAUCUCAAAUCAGAUAAGAGUACCCGCUGAACUUAAGCAUAUCAAUAAGCGGAGGA
rnacentral:misc_RNA from 1 species